UACGAAGGGGGCUAGCGUUGCUCGGAAUUACUGGGCGUAAAGGGCGCGUAGGCGGACAGCUUAGUCAGAGGUAAAAGCCCAGGGCUCAACCUUGGAACUGCCUUUGAUACUGGCUGUCUUGAGUUCGGGAGAGGUGAGUGGAAUGCCGAGUGUAGAGGUGAAAUUCGUAGAUAUUCGGCGGAACACCAGUGGCGAAGGCGACUCACUGGCCCGAUACUGACGCUGAGGCGCGAAAGCGUGGGGAGCAAACAGG
rnacentral:rRNA from 1 species